rnacentral:rRNA from 1 species
AGUGAACGCUGGCGGUAGGCCUAACACAUGCAAGUCGAACGGCAGCACAGUAAGAGCUUGCUCUUACGGGUGGCGAGUGGCGGACGGGUGAGGAAUACAUCGGAAUCUACUUUUUCGUGGGGGAUAACGUAGGGAAACUUACGCUAAUACCGCAUACGACCUACGGGUGAAAGCAGGGGAUCUUCGGACCUUGCGCGAUUGAAUGAGCCGAUGUCGGAUUAGCUAGUUGGCGGGGUAAAGGCCCACCAAGGCGACGAUCCGUAGCUGGUCUGAGAGGAUGAUCGGCCACACUGGAACUGAGACACGGUCCAGACUCCUACGGGAGGCAGCAGUGGGGAAUAUUGGACAAUGGGCGCAGGCCUGAUGCAGCCAUACCGCGUGGGUGAAGAAGGCCUUCGGGUUGUAAAGCCCUUUUGUUGGGAAAGAAAAGCAGCAGGUUAAUACCCCGCUGUUCUGGCGGUACCCAAAGAGUAAGCACCGGCUAACUUCGUG